rnacentral:misc_RNA from 1 species
UUGAUAUCAGACUUUACUGCAGUAAAGAUUGAAGUCCUAUCUCUCCAUAAACCUUAUAUUGCAUAGAUCAAUCUUGGUCAUUCACCAUAAUUGACUCCUUGGGUGAGUAAAAUAUGAUUAUGUCAGUCUCUUCAGGCAAUUUAAAGCUUACCCUUUUCGUUGACUUACUCUUUCGGCUUUUGCUUAUUGAAGAAACAUCCAUUGAAGAAAAACUUUGAUCAGCCUUUCGAUCAAGCAUCACCAAUCUCUCCAAGGAAAAACUCUUCUUUCUCGCCUUAGGGGAAGCAGCUUCAUGUCCUUCCAUGGAAGAAGAUGGAUGUACUCUUUUGUAGAAAUGUUUGGAAACGAAAAGUUCACCUCCAUUUAUGCAAUCUGGCUUCAUGCUAGGAGAGGCCAAGAGCCAGUCCUCUAAAGUGUGCUUCUUCUUCUUCAUCUUCUUUACUUCGAGGCAUUCUGGCUUGAGCAAUUCUAUAAUGCAGUAUCCUUCUCUUGAACUGUGAUCCAUAAAGUGGAUUUCUUCUGGGUUUUGCUCAGAACUCAAAUUCUUGCUAUGUUUAGCUCCCAUCUAAUCCCAUCAACAAUGAGAGAAGGAAAAG